GACGAACGCUGGCGGCGUGCUGAACACAUGCAAGUCGAACGGUGAAGCUCCAGCUUGCUGGAGUGGAUCAGUGGCGAACGGGUGAGUAACACGUGAGCAACCUGCCCCUGACUCUGGAAUAAGCGCUGGAAACGGCGUCUAAUACUGGAUACGAGAAGGGUCCGCAUGGGCACUUUCUGGAAAGUUUUUCGGUUGGGGAUGGGCUCGCGGCCUAUCAGCUUGUUGGUGAGGUAAUGGCUCACCAAGGCGACGACGGGUAGCCGGCCUGAGAGGGCGACCGGCCACACUGGGACUGAGACACGGCCCAGACUCCUACGGGAGGCAGCAGUGGGGAAUAUUGCACAAUGGGCGAAAGCCUGAUGCAGCGACGCCGCGUGAGGGAUGACGGCCUUCGGGUUGUAAACCUCUUUCAGCAGGGAAGAAGCGAAAGUGACGGUACCUGCAGAAGAAGCACCGGCUAACUACGUG
rnacentral:rRNA from 1 species